UCCCAGUUCCUCCCAGUUCCUCAGCACUGCAGACAUGAGCUCUCUGUUCAUCUCAGUGCUGCUGGCUGCUGUGGGCCUCGAAUGCAGAGCACAGACAGACAGCGUGCUGCAACCAGAUGGAGACAUGACUGCUGCUGAAGGAGACACUGGAACUCUGGCCUGUCUGUAUAACACCAGUUCAUCCAACCAUUACCUCUACUGGUACAAACAGGAAGGAAGCAGCAGUCCCCAAUUCAUCCUGAGUCGCUUUAAGGUUGGAGAGGGGAAAACAGUGGAGAAGGAGAGAUUUUCAUCCAGUCUGGAUUCUGCUGUUAGAUCAGUUCCUCUCAGGAUCCAGGAUCUCCAUCUGUCUGACUCUGCUGUGUACUACUGCGCUCUGCAGCCCACAGUGACAGGAAACACCACAACCCUGUACAACAACCUGGUAUACCUCCCAACAUCCACUAGAGGGCCCACACACUGCUCCCCCUCCAUGAUUUGCUAGGAUUUAGUCUGAUUCUGUCUGAAAAAGACAUCUUUGUCUGUAGUUCAUCACUGAACUGUUAGGACCUCAGCAGCAGAAACCAGGAUGUGCUUCUGAUGAAUCAUUGGAGAUAAAAAGAACAACAGUGAUGGCAGCUGAGUGAGAAGAAACAAGUUUUGGAUUUUAUAUGUUUUAAUUAAAUAAUAUCUGACUGAAUUUAUAAAGGAGAAUAAAAGAGAAAGUUUUGAACUGAGGCUGACUGAUGUUUCAUAUCCUCACAAUGAAGAACAGCAGCUGAACAUCAGCAUGUUUUAUUUCUGAUUAAACACAGUUAUAAACAAUAGAACAAUUAUACAACUGUAUAAAAGAAAACUUUCCAAUCAAGCAGAUUCUGUAAGACAUGAUGUGGUUCUGCUUUACCAGCUUAGAUGGACCAACUGUGUUUCGGAUCA